UACGUAGGGGGCGAGCGUUGUCCGGAGUUACUGGGCGUAAAGCGCACGCAGGCGGUCUGCUAAGUUUGGAGUGACAGUUGGUGGCUUAACUGCCAAAGUGCUUCGAAAACUGACAGACUUGAGGGCUUCAGAGGGACACGGAAUUCCGGGUGGAGUGGUGAAAUGCAUUGAGAUCGGAAAGAACACCAACGGCGAAAGCACUCUGCUGGGCCGACACUGACACUGAGAGACGAAAGCUAGGGGAGCAAAUGGG
rnacentral:rRNA from 1 species